CGCGGCCAUCACUGAGUGAGCUCCUAGGAGCGGAAGGGAUAUCAAACUGUCUGUUGUUAACUCCAGCCACCAGGUGCUGUCUAAGCUCACAAGGCAAAGUGGUCCGGGAAGGCCCGGAGCCUGUUCCACGGCCUGUAGCCCAGACGUCUUUUCCUGAGUGACUUUGUGCCCUGUUUUCUCUGCAGGGGAGGAAGUGGUACUCAAAGGGCAGAACUGAGACCAGGCGAUGUUGAAAGGUGCGGGGAUGUCUCCAGGAGCUCAGGGACCAUCUGUCUCUUAUGUGUGCAAGCCUGGGCCACAGAUACCCUAGACAGGCAAGCACCUGUGCUGAGUAAUGCGGCUGCGUGCACCUGAGGGUGUGGAGAAAGGGCCCGUGGAUGCCAUUUCUGAGCAAGACCCCAUAGGAGGCCGAAUGCAACAGCAAAGUCAAAGGUGGGUCCUGCCUGGCCACCCUGGGCCCAGAGGAGGUGCAGUAAGCUUGAUGGCAGUGCCUAAGUGAUACGUCCACAUCCUAACCCAUGGAACUAGGGAAGGUGACCUUUUUGGAAAAAGGGUCUUUGCAGAGGGAUUAAGGUAAGAAUCUUGAGAUGAGAUCAUCCUGCAUUAUCCACAUGGGCCCUAAAUCUAAUGACAAGUGUCCUCAUUAAAGACACACAGAGGAGAAGACACCAACACCAAGAAGUAGGCUGUGUAGGGAUGGAGGCAGAGACUGGAGCGAUGCAGCCACAGGUCAGGGGAUGCCUGGAGCCCCCAGAAGCUGGUGGAGGCAGGACGAAUCCUCCCCUAGAGCUUUCGGGGAAAACAAGUCUUUACCAACAAGGGACUGGCUGAAAACCCAUUUAUCUCAGCAAUAGACUGCUCGGCUGGUCCUCAUCGGAGCAAGCGGCCCCAUCUCAGAACAGUCGGCGGAUCUCUCAGCUGGCCUUGUGGAACAACUGCUCAUUGUUGAAAGCUCAUUUGAAAGCCUCCCCCUUGGUGUCCACACAUCCUAAAUUAUUAUCAUGUGAACUUUGACCCAUUCCAGUUACCCCUCCCCACCAGACACACACACUCUGAAAGGCGCGGCUGGGGCGGCCCCCAGCCUUUACAAACCCCCCUCCUUUGCUGAGAUGUUAGGAGACCGUUCUGCAGGCACCCUCUUCACUGCAGUGUUGCAAUCAGCUCAGCUUUGUUAGAAAACUAGGUCAAUCUGCUGGGCCCUUUGGGCAGCGAGCAGGCAGCAACAGUUUGAUCAGAGAAAGCAAUCUGACUUGAAGAAAAAUAGUUUGCUUGGAUGCCACCACCCAGGAUGGCAAGAGUAAUCCACGAGGAGGGUCACCUAGAGCUUCACACCCUUCCACGCAGCCGGACACUCAGGCUGGAGAGUGCAGCACAGCCUCCUGCCCGUCAUCCGGUAUCCUGAGUGGCAGAAAGUCAGGACUGAAGGCUGCUCAGGAGUGAUCUGGGCCACUAUGAGACUGGGGGGCCUUACUCACUUUUAAUUUUUUUUCAAAUAAACUUUUAAUUUUAAAAUAGUUUGGGUUUACAGAAAAGUAAAGAAAGUAUAGAGUUCCCA
rnacentral:lncRNA from 1 species